rnacentral:rRNA from 1 species
UGCAAGCGUUAUCCGGAAUGAUUGGGCGUAAAGCGUCCGCAGGUGGCUAUGUAAGUCUGCUGUUAAAGAGUGAGGCUCAACCUCAUAAGAGCAGUGGAAACUACAUGGCUAGAGUGCGUUCGGGGCAGAGGGAAUUCCUGGUGUAGCGGUGAAAUGCGUAGAGAUCAGGAAGAACAUCGGUGGCGAAGGCGCUCUGCUGGACCAUAACUGACACUCAGGGACGAAAGCUAGGGGAGCGAAUGGG